rnacentral:misc_RNA from 1 species
UCUCCGUUGGUGAACCAGCGGAGGGAUCAUUACCGAGUUUACAACUCCCAAACCCCUAUGUGAACGUUACCAAACUGUUGCCUCGGCGGGAAAUUCAUGCCCCGGGCGCGUCGCAGCCCCGGACCAAGGCGCCCGCCGGAGGACCAACCAAAACUCUUUUGUAUGUCCCUCGCGGACUUUUAUAAUUCUGAACCAUCUCGGCGCCCCUAGCGGGCGUUUCGAAAAUGAAUCAAAACUUUCAACAACGGAUCUCUUGGCUCUA